GACGAACGCUGGCGGCGUGCUUAACACAUGCAAGUCGAACGGAAAGGCCCUGCUUUUGUUGGGUGCUCGAGUGGCGAACGGGUGAGUAACACGUGAGUAACCUGCCCUUGACUUUGGGAUAACUUCAGGAAACUGGGGCUAAUACCGGAUAGGAGCUCCUGCUGCAUGGUGGUGGUUGGAAAGUUUCGGCGGUUGGGGAUGGACUCGCGGCUUAUCAGCUUGUUGGUGGGGUAGUGGCUUACCAAGGCUUUGACGGGUAGCCGGCCUGGGAGGGUGACCGGCGACAUGGGGACUGAGAUACGGACCAGAAUCGUACGGGAGGCAGCAGUGGGGAAUAUUGCGCAAUGGGCGGGAGCGAGAGGCAGCAACGCCGCGUGCGGGAUGACCGGUUUCGAGUGGUAAACAGAUUUCGACUGUGACGAAGCGUGCGUGACGGUAAUGGGUAAGGAAGCAACGGCUAACUACGUG
rnacentral:rRNA from 1 species